CAGAGUUUUAUCCUGAGUGAAGAUAACUUAGAGGAUAGGAAGGAUGGAAUAGCUUUUGGACAACCUUGCUUACUAAACAACUAUAUUUUAAUUGACUCUAUAGAACUAUAUUUUCAGGGAGUCCCUUUUAAACUGGGAGGAGCAAAUUUUUUUAUAGCAUACAAAGGGUAAUAAACUGAAUUUAUCAAGUAAUUUCCAUGUCCCAACAAUUUGACUUCUACCUUGAAGCAUUACAGGAGAAUUCAAAAGACCUGGAUAAAAAUAAAAGCAGAGUAUCACUAAAUCAAAUUGAGCCUUUAAAUUGGUGGAGAAAUUUGGGCAUAUUUCUUUGAGUAAUUUUAGCAACAAAGAUAUGAAGUAGAGGCAAUUUCCAUGAAAUUGGUUACAUGCUCAUUAAAAAAGGACCUAUUACUUCUGUAUCUUAUAAAUUAUAAAUGCUGGAAUAUUCCUGUUGCCUAUCGGUAACAAAUGACUGCAAUAUUGACUGGAUCUUUUGUUUGAGAUUAACCUAUCAAUUUCUCAUCUGUGAAACGGACGAGUAGUGCUCAAAUUGUGCUGGACUUCUUACUUCAUGGUCGUAAUAGCUUGUGUCAUGGCAGAGAUUCUGUUAUCUUUUCAGUAUCCAGGAUCUCUAAAUUCUUUUUUGCGGCCACCUUUGAGAGUGAUCUACGUUUUUGUUUUUUUUUUGAAACGAAGUCUCACUCUGUUGCCCAGGCUGGAGUGCAGUGGCGCGAUCUUGGCUUACAGAACCUCCGCCUCCCAGGUUCAAGUGAUUCUCCUUCUCAACCUCCCGAGUAACUAGGAUUAUAGGUGCUCACCAUCACGCCAGUCUAAUUUUUGUAUUUUUAGUAGCAAUGGGCCAAUAUUGGCCAAUUUUAGUAGAGAUGGGCUAGGCUGGUCAUGAACUCCUGACCUCAAGUGAGCCACCUGUCUUGACGUCCUAAAGUGCUGUGAUUACAGGUGUGAGCCAUUGCACCCAGCCUUUUUAAGUUUCUGAUUAGCCUUUCCAAAGGAGGCAAUUGGAUAUGCAUUUAUCUCAGUAAGCAGAGGGGUGACUUUGAAUAGAAUGGGAGGCAGGCUUGCCCUGAACAGUUCCCAGCUUGACUUUUCACUUUAGCUUAGUGAUUUUGGGUCCCCAAGAUUUAUUUUCAUUUUAUAAAGCCUUUCCAUGAGUAUUCCUCUUGCUGCCUCUCAUUUCCUCCUGUAGGCUCCAUUUCUCUAGUCCUUUCCAUGCCCUUCCCAACAUGCAUCAAGACCUUCAAGGUCAUAUAAGGGAGUAGGAAGUCCGGCACCCUUUGUCAGUUAGCUGAAAAACAGGCUUCUUGUCUACUUAGAGAACAUGGGAAAUGGGAAUCUGAGGACAGAGAUAUUCACUUUGUUGCUAAAAUGCUCCAAGUGAGAGUCACUAUAAGGUCUUCCAGUCCAUAUCAAUCAGAGAAAUAAAGGCUGAACAAGAUUAUGAGUUGAAAAAGCCGAGGAAACCCCAGAUAUUGCAUGGUUUCAGGCUUUAGCCCUAUUACUCUCUUGAGCCUCCUGUAUAGGAGGGCCAUUAAUGUCUCAAGAUGUCAUGUAAUUGGACUCAUACCAUAUGUAGCCUUUCCAGAUUGGCUUACUUUACUUAGAAAUAUGAAUCAAGACUGGGCGCAGUAGUUCAUGCCUGUAAUCCGAGCACUUUGGGAGGCUGAGGUCAGGAGUUUGGGACCAGCCUAGCCAAUGUGAUGAAAUCCUGUCUCUACUAAAAACACAAAACUUAGCUGGGCAUGGUGGUGGAUGCCUGUAAUCCCAGCUACUCAGGAGGCUGAGGCAGGAGAAUCACUUGAACCUGGGAGGCCAGAGGUUACAGUGAGCUGAGAUCAUGCCGUUGCACUCCAGCCUGGGUGACAAGAGCGAAUCUCUGCCUCAAAAAAAAAAAAAAAAAGGAAAUAUGAAUCAAAGUUUUUCCAUGUCUUUUUAUGGUUUAAUACUAUCUUUCUUUUUAGUUUUGAGUAAUAUUCUAUUGUCUAGAUAUAACAGUUUAUUUUCCAUUCGCCUACUGAAGAAUAUCUGUUGCUUCCAAGUUUUGGCAAUUAUGAG
ensembl:lncRNA